rnacentral:rRNA from 1 species
UACGGAAGGCAGCAGGGGGAAUAUUGCACAAUGGGCGCAAGCCUGAUGCAGCCAUGCCGCGUGUAUGAAAAAGGCCUUCGGGUUGUAAAGUACUUUCAGUCGUGAGGAAGGUGUUAAGGUUAAUAACCUUAGCAAUUGACGUUAGCGACAGAAGAAGCACCGGCUAACUCCGUGCCAGCAGCCGCGGUAAUACGGAGGGUGCGAGCGUUAAUCGGAAUUACUGGGCGUAAAGGGCACGCAGGCGGUUAAUUAAGUUGGAUGUGAAAUCCCCGGGCUUAACCUGGGAAUGGCAUUCAAGACUGGUUAGCUAGAGUCUUGUAGAGGGGGUAGAAUUCCAUGUGUAGCGGUGAAAUGCGUAGAGAUGUGGAGGAAUACCGGUGGCGAAGGCGGCCCCUGGGACAAAGACUGACGCUCAUGUGCGAAAGCGUGGGGAGCGAAACAGGGAUUAGAUACCCGU